CUACGGGCCGCUGCAGUGAGGAAUAUUGCACAAUGGGGGGAACCCUGAUGCAGCAACGCCGCGUGGAGGAUGACGCAUUUCGGUGUGUAAACUCCUUUUAUAUGUCAAGAAAAUGACGGUAGCAUAUGAAUAAGCACCGGCUAACUCCGUGCCAGCAGCCGCGAGUAAUACGGAGGGUGCAAGCGUUACUCGGAAUCACUGGGCGUAAAGGACGCGUAGGCGGGUUGGAAAGUCAGGUGUGAAAUCCUACAGCUUAACUGUAGAACUGCACUUGAAACUUCUAAUCUAGAGUAUGGGAGGGGGAGAUGGAAUUAGUGGUGUAGGGGUAAAAUCCGUAGAUAUCACUAGGAAUACCUAAAGCGAAGGCGAUCUCCCGGAACAUUACUGACGCUAAGGCGUGAAAGCGUGGGGAGCAAACAGGAUUAGAUACCCUUGUAGUC
rnacentral:rRNA from 1 species